rnacentral:tRNA from 1 species
ACCCGUGUAGCUCAGUCGGUAGAGCACAGCGCUUGCAACGCUACGGUUGGGAGUUCGAUUCCUGCGGGGC